rnacentral:sRNA from 1 species
CAGCUCAUCAAGGAGUUUACACCUCUGGCUUCUAAAGGAGACGGAGUCUUUCCUGGGCAGAGCUCUGCUGAUUCAGUUUUCAUCAUCUUUUUGCUGCUCUUACGUUCAUCUCAGACUUUCUGAUUACUUUUCUGUGUAGAAAAAACAAGACCAGAAAGCUCCAGAUAAAGAGGCCAUACUCCGGGCCACCGCCAACCUGCCCUCCUACAACAUGGACCGGGCCGCAGUCCAGACCAACAUGAGAGACUUCCAGACAGAACUCCGGAAGAUACUGGUGUCUCUCAUCGAGGUGGCGCAGAAGCUGUUAGCGCUGAACCCAGAUGCGGUGGAAUUGUUUAAGAAGGCGAAUGCAAUGCUGGACGAGGACGAGGAUGAGCGUGUGGACGAGGCCGCCCUGCGGCAGCUCACGGAGAUGGGCUUUCCGGAGAACAGAGCCACCAAGGCCCUUCAGCUGAACCACAUGUCGGUGCCCCAGGCCAUGGAGUGGCUAAUUGAACACGCAGAAGACCCGACCAUAGACACGCCUCUUCCAGGCCAAGCUCCCCCAGGGGCCGAGGGGGCCACAGCAGCCGCCUCCGAGGCUGCCGCAGGGGCCAGCACCACCGAUGAGGAGGCCAGAGAUGAGCUAACGGAAAUCUUCAAGAAGAUCCGGAGGAAAAGGGAGUUUCGGGCUGAUGCUCGGGCCGUCAUUUCCCUGAUGGAGAUGGGGU